rnacentral:lncRNA from 1 species
UUUUUUUUUUUUUUUUUUUUUUUUUUUUUUUUACAUUCAGACACUCUCUUCUGCUCUUAACGGAAUGAAAAUCAGAGAAAUCUUGGUAGAACAGUGACAUGAAUCAUUUAAAGAAAGAAAUAACAGGAAUACAGUAUUGGAAAGCAAAUGUCUUAGAUUGACCAAGAUGAUAAAAUAGUGGCUUAUGACUUUCCAUCCUCCCACAGAUUUGCCAAAUAUACAGCUACACAUGGAUCAUUACCCUCCGAAAGAAACCUAAAAACCAACUGAGUAACUCCUCCACAUCAGCCUACUGAAAAAACACUCACAUCAAAAUGAGUAGGAAAUACUGAGACACAGACUAUAAGCCUCACCCCUGGCACAGUGCCUGACAAUUGGGAGGGAACUCCCAACUCCCAGAGUUUCCCUGCGAGUGAAGGGUUUGGACCACACAUAUAGUGCUCCACUUUUAAGGCUACUAUUUGAAGGAUGGGUCCCCAAAUAUCCUAGCUCAGAGAGCCAACAGGGUUUGGCAUUCAUAAGUCCCAUAGGACCAUAACAAACAAAGAAGCAGCUGUUAAACAGGCACAUGAACACUCCUCCCACCUAUUCCCCAUGGCUCAGUGCAGAUGGAGCAGGCAAAGGUGCCCAUCUCCCAGUUUUUCCCUGGAAGAGAGUUUGAGUGCAGAAUUUCCCAGCUGCUGCCUGAGGGUCUGGCUUCUAAUCAGUUUGCAUCUGGGUAUUGACUGGGAUCCUCCAAGGAGACCUAAAGAGCUGGUGGGCACUUGUCCCAUAUUCCCCCUCUAACUCACUUCAAUAAUAAAAAACAAACCAAGUUGCAACCUUUUCCCUGGAAAGAAACUGUCCACACAUAAGGUGCUCCAAAUUUUGUAGUUGCCACUCAAGGAACAGGUUCUCAAGUCACCUAACUAAUAGUUACCAGGGCUUGGCAUUUACAAAUCUCAUAGGGUCAUAUUAAACAACAACAACACAACAACAACAACAACAAAAAAGUACUUUUUAAAUGGGCACACAAGCACUUUUGCAGCUCUCACUUCCCCAGCUCAGCACAGAAGGAAGAGGCAAACAUUCACCUCCCAGUUUCUCCCUAGAAGGCACUUGAUUGUGUACCUUCCUAGCUACUGUCUGAGGUUCUGGCUUCUAGUUAGGCUGCACAUGGGAGCAGGCUGGGAUCCUCUCAGGACCUGAAAGAGCUGGUGGGCAUGUCUCCUACCAUCUCCCCCCAACUUGUGCAGCAGUAAAACCAAGUCUCCAGUUUCUCCCUGGAAGGAGCAUGUCCACACAUCUAGCACCCCAAAUGUUACAGCUGUCACAUAAGGGACUGGCUCCCAAAUCAUCCAGCUCUGGGUGCUGACAGGGCUCAGCAUUCACAGGUCAUCUAGGAUUACACAAUACCAAGAGAUGGCUCUAUAUGGGUGUGCAAGCA